rnacentral:rRNA from 1 species
AUGCAGUCGAACGGUGAUAGCAAUAUCAUAGUGGCGCACGGGUGCGUAACACGUAUGCAACCUACCUAUUAUUGGGGGAUAGCCUUUGGAAACGGAGAUUAAUACCGCAUAAUACGAUUGACUGGCAUCGGUUGAUUGUUAAAGCUUAGGCGAUAAUAGAUGGGCAUGCGUCCAAUUAGUUAGUUGGUUAGGUAACGGCUGACCAAGACGAUGAUUGGUAGGGGAUCUGAGAGGAUAAUCCCCCACACUGGCACUGAGAUACGGGCCAGACUCCUACGGGAGGCAGCAGUAGGGAAUAUUGGGCAAUGGGCGGAAGCCUGACCCAGCCAUGCCGCGUGCAGGAAGAAGGCGUUAUGCGUUGUAAACUGCUUUUUUAUAGGAAGAAGGAUCCCUUGCGAGGGAAGGUGACGGUACUAUAAGAAUAAGCACCGGCUAACUCCGUGCCAGCAGCCGCGGUAAUACGGAGGGUGCAAGCGUUGUCCGGAUUUAUUGGGUUUAAAGGGUGCGUAGGCGGUUUAUUAAGUCAGUGGUGAAAGACGGUCGCUCAACGAUUGCAGUGCCAUUGAUACUGGUAGACUUGAGUGAG